AAUGAACGCUGGCGGCAGGCCUAACACAUGCAAGUCGAACGGAUCCUUCGGGAUUAGUGGCGGACGGGUGAGUAACGCGUGGGAACAUACCCUUUGGUACGGAAUAGCCUCGGGAAACUGGGAGUAAUACCGUAUGUGGUCGAGAGACGAAAGAGUUAUCGCCAAAGGAUUGGCCCGCGUUGGAUUAGGUAGUGGGUGGGGUAAUGGCCUACCAAGCCGACGAUCCAUAGCUGGGUUGAGAGGAUGAUGAGCCACACUGGGACUGAGACACGGCCCAGACUCCUACGGAAGGUGGCAGUGGGGAAUCUAAGACAAGGGGGGAAACCCUGAUCUAGCCAUGCCGCGUGAUCGAUGAAGGACUUAGGGUUGUAAAGAUCUUUCAGGUGGGAAGAUAAUGACUGUACCACCAGAAGAAGCCCCGGCUAACUCCGUGCCAGCAGCCGCAGUAA
rnacentral:rRNA from 1 species